GACGAACGCUGGCGGCGUGCUUAACACAUGCAAGUCGAACGGAAAGGCCCUGCUUUUGUGGGGUGCUCGAGUGGCGAACGGGUGAGUAACACGUGAGUAACCUGCCCUUGACUUUGGGAUAACUUCAGGAAACUGGGGCUAAUACCGGAUAGGAGCUCCUGCUGCAUGGUGGGGGUUGGAAAGUUUCGGCGGUUGGGGAUGGACUCGCGGCUUAUCAGCUUGUUGGUGGGGUAGUGGCUUACCAAGGCUUUGACGGGUAGCCGGCCUGAGAGGGUGACCGGCCACAUUGGGACUGAGAUACGGCCCAGACUCCUACGGGAGGCAGCAGUGGGGAAUAUUGCACAAUGGGCGGAAGCGUGAUGCAGAAACGCCGCGUGCGGGAUGACGGCCUUCGGGUUGUAAACAGCUUUCGACUGUGACGAAGCGUGAGUGACGGUAAUGGGUAAAGAAGCACCGGCUAACUACGUG
rnacentral:rRNA from 1 species